AAGCCCCAGUAAACGGCGGCCGUAACUAUAACGGUCCUAAGGUAGCGAAAUUCCUUGUCGGGUAAGUUCCGACCUGCACGAAUGGCGUAAUGAUGGCCAGGCUGUCUCCACCCGAGACUCAGUGAAAUUGAACUCACUGUGAAGAUGCAGUGUACCCGCGGCAAGACGGAAAGACCCCGUGAACCUUUACUGUAGCUUGACACUGAACAUUGAGCCUUGAUGUGUAGGAUAGGUGGGAGGCUUUGAAGUGUGGACGCCAGUCUGCAUG
rnacentral:rRNA from 1 species